AGAGAUUGCCAGCUGCACUCCCCGAUCAGUGCUUCUCCCCCCCCCCCCCGCCCCCCACCUCCCCCCCUUCUCUGAAUUCUCUAGCUGCCAAAAGGGGGGAAAAAUCAAGAGCUGCUCUUAAAAGAAGUUGCCCUUGCGGGUGCUCGGGGUAAAAAUAGAGGCGGCCGCUCCGCCCGGCUUGGCCGUGACUCCAGCCCCGCGAGCCGGGCUCGAGCAGCGGCCGCGAUCCGGCGUGAUCCCCGGGAGCUGCCAGCAGGUGUUGCUCAAGCUUAUUUCAAAAAGGAAAAUCAGAACCUGUAGGGAGAGCCCUGCGAAUUUUUUUCCCCUGUCAGCAACAAUAAAAUACUUUGUCAAUAGAGGCAACUUCAUGGAGAAGUUUUAUGGGAAGACACAGAACUGAGCCUGACAAGAGGGAGAAACUGACGUGCUUGAUGUGCGAGUGGUCAAAGUUGAAAGCUGGUCCCUCAGUGAGCGCUCGCUGUUGGGUUGCAGGAUUUUUCUAAAGGGUCGUCUAGUCAGUCAGAGGUUUCCCUGGCUCCGUGAUCACCCAGGAGUGUCACAGCAGCCGAGAAAGGCUUUCCAUUAGAUAAUGAGUUAUGAAAUAUGUCUCACACUGGAAAAACCAGUCAUCUGCUGAUGUCAUUCUGCUUCCAACCAAUCCCAAACAAAGCCCCAGCCCUCCCUGCUUGACUGGUACCAAUGUGUGACUGUACAAAUAAGUAGUACAGUAUAAAAAUUCUCAGUGCCAAUGCCAUGAAGAGGAACUCCGAAGGCACUUGCCACAUGAUACAAGAGUCUGCUGGUGAAAGAGAGAGGACCGGAAAGAGAAUUGACUGAAGAGGAGACAGGAAACAAACAAACAAAAACAAACAAACAAACCAACCAAAACACACACACACACACCAAAACCCCAAAAAGGAAAGAGAG
rnacentral:lncRNA from 1 species